GCGCGGGUGGCGAAAUUGGUACACGCACAUCCUUGAGGUGGAUGCGGCCGCAAGGCCUUGGAGGUUCGAGUCCUCUCCCGCGCACCA
rnacentral:tRNA from 2 species